UUACGUCCAUAUCACCUUGAAACACCGCCUCCCGUAUGAUCACCGAAGUUAAGCAACGUUGAGUCUGAUCAGUACCUAGAUGGGUGACCGUUUGGGAAUUCUAAGUGCCGUAAG